rnacentral:rRNA from 1 species
GGGUUGUGAGGUUAAGCGACUAAGCGUACACGGUGGAUGCCCUGGCAGUCAGAGGCGAUGAAGGACGUGCUAAUCUGCGAUAAGCGUCGGUAAGGUGAUAUGAACCGUUAUAACCGGCGAUUUCCGAAUGGGGAAACCCAGUGUGAUUCGUCACACUAUCAUUAACUGAAUCCAUAGGUUAAUGAGGCGAACCGGGGGAACUGAAACAUCUAAGUACCCCGAGGAAAAGAAAUCAACCGAGAUUCCCCCAGUAGCGGCGAGCGAACGGGGAGCAGCCCAGAGCCUGAAUCAGUGUGUGUGUUAGUGGAAGCGUCUGGAAAGGCGUGCGAUACAGGGUGACAGCCCCGUACACAAAAAUGCACAUAUUGUGAGCUCGAUGAGUAGGGCGGGACACGUGGUAUCCUGUCUGAAUAUGGGGGGACCAUCCUCCAAGGCUAAAUACUCCUGACUGACCGAUAGUGAACCAGUACCGUGAGGGAAAGGCGAAAAGAACCCCGGCGAGGGGAGUGAAAAGAACCUGAAACCGUGUACGUACAAGCAGUGGGAGCACGCUUAGGCGUGUGACUGCGUACCUUUUGUAUAAUGGGUCAGCGACUUAUAUUCUGUAGCAAGGUUAACCGAAUAGGGGAGCCGAAGGGAAACCGAGUCUUAACUGGGCGUUAAGUUGCAGGGUAUAGACCCGAAACCCGGUGAUCUAGCCAUGGGCAGGUUGAAGGUUGGGUAACACUAACUGGAGGACCGAACCGACUAAUGUUGAAAAAUUAGCGGAUGACUUGUGGCUGGGGGUGAAAGGCCAAUCAAACCGGGAGAUAGCUGGUUCUCCCCGAAAGCUAUUUAGGUAGCGCCUCGUGAAUUCAUCUCCGGGGGUAGAGCACUGUUUCGGCAAGGGGGUCAUCCCGACUUACCAACCCGAUGCAAACUGCGAAUACCGGAGAAUGUUAUCACGGGAGACACACGGCGGGUGCUAACGUCCGUCGUGAAGAGGGAAACAACCCAGACCGCCAGCUAAGGUCCCAAAGUCAUGGUUAAGUGGGAAACGAUGUGGGAAGGCCCAGACAGCCAGGAUGUUGGCUUAGAAGCAGCCAUCAUUUAAAGAAAGCGUAAUAGCUCACUGGUCGAGUCGGCCUGCGCGGAAGAUGUAACGGGGCUAAACCAUGCACCGAAGCUGCGGCAGCGACGCUGAUGCGUUGUUGGGUAGGGGAGCGUUCUGUAAGCCUGUGAAGGUGUACUGUGAGGUAUGCUGGAGGUAUCAGAAGUGCGAAUGCUGACAUAAGUAACGAUAAAGCGGGUGAAAAGCCCGCUCGCCGGAAGACCAAGGGUUCCUGUCCAACGUUAAUCGGGGCAGGGUGAGUCGACCCCUAAGGCGAGGCCGAAAGGCGUAGUCGAUGGGAAACAGGUUAAUAUUCCUGUACUUGGUGUUACUGCGAAGGGGGGACGGAGAAGGCUAUGUUGGCCGGGCGACGGUUGUCCCGGUUUAAGCGUGUAGGCUGGUUUUCCAGGCAAAUCCGGAAAAUCAAGGCUGAGGCGUGAUGACGAGGCACUACGGUGCUGAAGCAACAAAUGCCCUGCUUCCAGGAAAAGCCUCUAAGCAUCAGGUAACAUCAAAUCGUACCCCAAACCGACACAGGUGGUCAGGUAGAGAAUACCAAGGCGCUUGAGAGAACUCGGGUGAAGGAACUAGGCAAAAUGGUGCCGUAACUUCGGGAGAAGGCACGCUGAUAUGUAGGUGAAGUCCCUCGCGGAUGGAGCUGAAAUCAGUCGAAGAUACCAGCUGGCUGCAACUGUUUAUUAAAAACACAGCACUGUGCAAACACGAAAGUGGACGUAUACGGUGUGACGCCUGCCCGGUGCCGGAAGGUUAAUUGAUGGGGUCAGCGCAAGCGAAGCUCUUGAUCGAAGCCCCGGUAAACGGCGGCCGUAACUAUAACGGUCCUAAGGUAGCGAAAUUCCUUGUCGGGUAAGUUCCGACCUGCACGAAUGGCGUAAUGAUGGCCAGGCUGUCUCCACCCGAGACUCAGUGAAAUUGAACUCGCUGUGAAGAUGCAGUGUACCCGCGGCAAGACGGAAAGACCCCGUGAACCUUUACUAUAGCUUGACACUGAACAUUGAGCCUUGAUGUGUAGGAUAGGUGGGAGGCUUGGAAGUGUGGACGCCAGUCUGCAUGGAGCCGACCUUGAAAUACCACCCUUUAAUGUUUGAUGUUCUAACGUUGACCCGUAAUCCGGGUUGCGGACAGUGUCUGGUGGGUAGUUUGACUGGGGCGGUCUCCUCCUAAAGAGUAACGGAGGAGCACGAAGGUUGGCUAAUCCUGGUCGGACAUCAGGAGGUUAGUGCAAUGGCAUAAGCCAGCUUGACUGCGAGCGUGACGGCGCGAGCAGGUGCGAAAGCAGGUCAUAGUGAUCCGGUGGUUCUGAAUGGAAGGGCCAUCGCUCAACGGAUAAAAGGUACUCCGGGGAUAACAGGCUGAUACCGCCCAAGAGUUCAUAUCGACGGCGGUGUUUGGCACCUCGAUGUCGGCUCAUCACAUCCUGGGGCUGAAGUAGGUCCCAAGGGUAUGGCUGUUCGCCAUUUAAAGUGGUACGCGAGCUGGGUUUAGAACGUCGUGAGACAGUUCGGUCCCUAUCUGCCGUGGGCGCUGGAGAACUGAGGGGGGCUGCUCCUAGUACGAGAGGACCGGAGUGGACGCAUCACUGGUGUUCGGGUUGUCAUGCCAAUGGCACUGCCCGGUAGCUAAAUGCGGAAGAGAUAAGUGCUGAAAGCAUCUAAGCACGAAACUUGCCCCGAGAUGAGUUCUCCCUGACUCCUUGAGAGUCCUGAAGGAACGUUGAAGACGACGACGUUGAUAGGCCGGGUGUGUAAGCGCAGCGAUGCGUUGAGCUAACCGGUACUAAUGAACCGUGAGGCUUAACCUUACAACGCCGAAGCUGUU